GUUGAUUCCGUCAAAAGUUCCAUAAAAAAACAGGCAGUUUGGUGGGUGGACUGCCCUACUUCCCAGGAUCCCCAGCGACCUGCCUGGCAAGAUACCCAGCUCCCAGGGAUCCCAGACUGCUGGCUGCCCAGUCAGUUCCAGAGAGAUGAACGUUUUACACACUGAUGAAGAGUCAGCAAAGUGAAAGAAAGUGAGCAAUGUUCCAGAGAGCUGGUACAGCAGUAGCAAAUGGCUGAUUUUCUGCAAAGGAGAUGAAGUUGGGGGACUAAGAAGAGGCAAAAGUUCGUAGAAUGGAGGGAUCAAGCAUGGAUAGAGAUAUAUGAGACCAAGAUCUGACAUAGUACAUGGCUAAGGAUGUAAUGAAGGCAUUAGAGCUACCACUGAGAUAUUUGUACAAUGGAGUUGACAUAGAAGAUGGCCUGUCUGGGGCACCUUGGUCAAGAUUCUGCAAACUGUGAAGGGUUGCCACCUUUGAAGUACAGAAAAACUGACUGCUGGCCACCUCUCAACCACCACCAACAACGAAAAGGGUCCUAGUGGCAACUAUAACUAGUUAUUACUAAAAUGUUUUA